rnacentral:rRNA from 1 species
GACGAACGCUGGCGGCGUGCUUAACACAUGCAAGUCGAACGGAAAGGCCCUGCUUUUGUGGGGUGCUCGAGUGGCGAACGGGUGAGUAACACGUGAGUAACCUGCCCUUGACUUUGGGAUAACUUCAGGAAACUGGGGCUAAUACCGGAUAGGAGCUCCUGCUGCAUGGUGGGGGUUGGAAAGUUUCGGCGGUUGGGGAUGGACUCGCGGCCUAUCAGCUUGUUGGUGGGGUAGUGGCUUACCAAGGCUUUGACGGGUAGCCGGCCUGAGCGGGUCACCGGCCACAUUGGGACUGAGAUACGGCCCAGACUCCUACGGGAGGCAGCAGUGGGGAAUAUUGCACAAUGGGCGGAAGCCUGAUGCAGCAACGCCGCGUGCGGGAUGACGGCCUUCGGGUUGUAAACCGCUUUCGCCUGUGACGAAGCGUGAGUGACGGUAAUGGGUAAAGAAGCACCGGCUAACUACGUG